AGGUGCGAUCAUACCAACACUAAUGCACCAGAUCCCAUCAGAAUUUCGCAGUCAAGCGUGCUUGGGUGAGGGUAGUACUAAGAUGGGUGACCUCUUGGGAAGUCCUCGUGUUGCACCUC
rfam:Lupinus angustifolius cultivar Tanjil contig_1837, whole genome shotgun sequence.